UACGUAUGGUGCGAGCGUUGUCCGGAUUUACUGGGCGUGAAGGGGGCGCAGGCGGCGCGCCAAGCCCGAUGUGAAAGCCCGGGGCUCAACCCCGGGACUGCAUUGGGUACUGGCGUGCUGGAGUGCCGGAGGGGCAGGCGGAAUUCCUGGUGUAGCGGUGAAAUGCGUAGAUAUCAGGAGGAACACCGGUGGCGAAGGCGGCCUGCUGGACGGAUACUGACGCUGAGGCUCGAAAGCGUGGGGAGCAAACAGG
rnacentral:rRNA from 1 species